UUUCAGCAGGGAAGAAGCGAAAGUGACGGUACCUGCAGAAGAAGUACCGGCUAACUACGUGCCAGCAGCCGCGGUAAUACGUAGGGUACGAGCGUUGUCCGGAAUUAUUGGGCGUAAAGAGCUCGUAGGUGGUUGGUCACGUCUGCUGUGGAAACGCAACGCUUAACGUUGCGCGUGCAGUGGGUACGGGCUGACUAGAGUGCAGUAGGGGAGUCUGGAAUUCCUGGUGUAGCGGUGAAAUGCGCAGAUAUCAGGAGGAACACCGGUGGCGAAGGCGGGACUCUGGGCUGUAACUGACACUGAGGAGCGAAAGCAUGGGGAGCGAACAGGAUUAGAUACCCUGGUAGUCCAUGCCGUAAACGUUGGGCACUAGGUGUGGGGGACAUUCCACGUUCUCCGCGCCGUAGCUAACGCAUUAAGUGCCCCGCCUGGGGAGUACGGUCGCAAGGCUAAAACUCAAAGGAAUUGACGGGGGCCCGCACAAGCGGCGGAGCAUGCGGAUUAAUUCGAUGCAACGCGAAGAACCUUACCAAGGCUUGACAUACACUGGACCGUUCUGGAAACAGUUCUUCUCUUUGGAGCUGGUGUACAGGUGGUGCAUGGUUGUCGUCAGCUCGUGUCGUGAGAUGUUGGGUUAAGUCCCGCAACGAGCGCAACCCUCGUUCUAUGUUGCCAGCACGUGAUGGUGGGAACUCAUAGGAGACUGCCGGGGUCAACUCGGAGGAAGGUGGGGAUGACGUCAAAUCAUCAUGCCCUUUAUGUCUUGGGCUUCACGCAUGCUACAAUGGCUGGUACAGAGAGAGGCGAACCCGUGAGGGUGAGCGAAUCCCUUAAAG
rnacentral:rRNA from 1 species